UACGUAGGGUGCAAGCGUUGUCCGGAAUUAUUGGGCGUAAAGAGCUCGUAGGCGGUUCGUCACGUCGGCUGUGAAACCCGAGGCUCAACCUCGGGCCUGCAGUCGAUACGGGCAGACUAGAGUUCGGUAGGGGAGACUGGAAUUCCUGGUGUAGCGGUGAAAUGCGCAGAUAUCAGGAGGACACCGAUGGCGAAGGCAGGUCUCUGGGCCACUACUGACGCUGAGAAGCGAAAGCAUGGGAGCGAACAGG
rnacentral:rRNA from 1 species